CAUUCCAGGAAUGUACUACCAAAGUUCUAUCAAUAUUUGAAUGUCCUGGACAUUUAGGGAACAUUCGGUGAACAUCUGUUUAAAUUAUUCCUGGAAUGUUACCAUAAGACAUUCUGUGAACAUACUACCAAUGUUCCUAUAUUUUAAGUUGCGAAAUAAUACAUACGUGUAAGAGAUACAACAUUACUUAUAACAUACCAGACAAACUAAGUGACAUUUUAGGCCUACAGUGCAAUAAUAUGUCAAAUUUAAAGAGUUUACCAAGAUUAUAAACAUACAAAUGUAAUAAAAAUUAUUGUUCGCGAAUAUUCAAUUUGGAAUGCGAUUUUGUUAAUAAAAAAAAUACUUAUAACUUAUGCAAAACCCAAGAGAGGCAUUUAUAUUUAUUUCUUUUGCGUUCAUUUUCAAAUUCGCCGUGCAUAUAUUUUUGUGCAUGGCGCUUGAGAGGGCAUCACGUGACUAAAAACGACCAACCAUCGACCUCGCUUCGGCCAUCUUGGCAUCUUCAUCUUGGCGACCUUGCCUUGCCGUGGAUUGUUUUUAGUUGUUUGUAUUAUUUGUGCUUUUUAAGAAUAUUUUUUUAAUUCGGAUACUUUUAUAAUAGCUUUAAUAGUAUUAUUAAUAUAGUGCAUAAAAUGGUGUCCUGUUUUUAACGCAGUUGGAGUAGCAGAAACAAAUGUAGAUAAAAAAAUCUGCAGGAAUAACGUUUCAAUUAUGACAGAAGCUCCAAACAAAUGACUGAAUGAAAAGCCCUAUUAAAAGCUUUCCAGAAGAUCCUGCGAAGAAGACAUGAAGUAUAGAUCAGAUUUGUUAAUAGAGGAGUAUGUUCAAAACACUUUUUAGAAAAAGAUAUUGACAGAACUUCACUUUCAUCUGUUCGUUUGAGAGACUGUGCUGUUCCAAUAGCUUAUGCCACACAGAAUCAGCUGAGAGAAGUGGUCUACAAAAAACCAGAAAGGAAACGGAAUAUGUGGCUACGAAAAGCAAAAGAAAGGUUUACAAAGCAAAUGUGACACAUUUUUUUAUAAUAUUUAGGAAUGUCGGCAAAUUACAUUAAAAAAUGUAUGUAAAGAUUUUUUGCAAUAAAAAUGUUUAUAUUUA